rnacentral:lncRNA from 1 species
UACUUGUCGGAUUCUGAAACUUCAACUUCUCAGCUCCACUUGAACCUCAGGCACAGAGAUGGAAUCUGAAGCGGACCAAAGGGUGGGUGGCUUCUUGGAGAUGGUGAGGCGUGGCCACAGGAGGAACAGGAUGCAUGACAGCUGCCUCCCACACAGAUAUACCGCAUCUAAGAAGAUGUCACCACCCCCAUGAGAAAUAUCUACUGUAUGCUCAUGUUUGAAUGUGUGUGUAUAUAUAUAGAUUCAAUAUAUCCAUAUGUUGCAAAGAACUGAA